AUGGUUGUGGUGUUCAGUGAUGUCUCC
rnacentral:piRNA from 1 species